rnacentral:rRNA from 1 species
AGAGUUUGAUCCUGGCUCAGAUUGAACGCUGGCGGCAGGCUUAACACAUGCAAGUCGAGCGGAGAGAGGUAGCUUGCUACUGAUCUUAGCGGCGGACGGGUGAGUAAUACUUAGGAAUCUGGCUAUUAGUGGGGGACAACAUUUCGAAAGGGAUGCUAAUACCGCAUACGUCCUACGGGAGAAAGCAGGGGAUCUUCGGACCUUGCGCUAAUAGAUGAGCCUAAGUCGGAUUAGCUAGUUGGUGGGGUAAAGGCCUACCAAGGCGACGAUCUGUAGCGGGUCUGAGAGGAUGAUCCGCCACACUGGGACUGAGACACGGCCCAGACUCCUACGGGAGGCAGCAGUGGGGAAUAUUGGACAAUGGGGGGAACCCUGAUCCAGCCAUGCCGCGUGUGUGAAGAGGGCCUUAUGGUUGUAAAGCACUUUAAGCGAGGAGGAGGGUACUGGUAUUAAUACUACCAGGUACUGGACGUUACUCGCAGAAUAAGCACCGGCUAACUCUGUGCCAGCAGCCGCGGUAAUACAGAGGGUGCGAGCGUUAAUCGGAUUUACUGGGCGUAAAGCGUGCGUAGGCGGCUAAUUGAGUCGGAUGUGAAAUCCCCGAGCUUAACUUGGGAAUUGCAUUCGAUACUGGUUAGCUAGAGUGUGGGAGAGGAUGGUAGAAUUCCAGUGUAGCGGUGAAAUGCGUAGAGAUCUGGAGGAUACCGAUGGCGAAGCAGCCAUCUGGCCUAACACUGACGCUGAGUACGAAAGCAUGGGGAGCAAACAGGAUUAGAUACCCUGGUAGUCCAUGC